CAACAGACUCUGUUUGAUGUCAUGUAAUGUAAAAGCUAUCACAAUGAAAUAAAGAUCAUUGCAUUUAUCCAUUAUAAAUGCAAUGAUCUUUAUUUCAUUGUGAUAGCUUUUACGUUACAUGUAAAUGUUCUCAUAGAAAGUUUCUUG